UACGUAGGGCGCAAGCGUUGUCCGGAAUUAUUGGGCGUAAAGAGCUCGUAGGCGGCUUGUCACGUCGGGUGUGAAAGCCCGGGGCUUAACCCCGGGUCUGCAUUCGAUACGGGCUAGCUAGAGUGUGGUAGGGGAGAUCGGAAUUCCUGGUGUAGCGGUGAAAUGCGCAGAUAUCAGGAGGAACACCGGUGGCGAAGGCGGGUCUCUGGGCCGUUACUGACGCUGAGGAGCGAAAGCGUGGGGAGCGAACAGG
rnacentral:rRNA from 1 species